GGCGCUUUCAAUAGAGACAGACGUGACCUGGCAGAAGAGCAGGUCCCGCCUCCAGGUGUUUGGGACUCUGCUGAGGAUGUGGGUCCCUGCGGUGGGAGCUGAAACGUCCUGGGGUGUGGGGAGACAAAGGGUCCAGAUCCAAGUCGCCUCUUUCCUGCUUUGAGACUCGGUGCCUCGGCUGUGUCCUGAGACAGAAACAUGGGCCCUUGGGGUCCCGCCUGGCCCAACAGGUUCCUAGAGCAAGAGUGAAGAGAUCAGGAUUCCAUCACUGGGACCCUUCAGGUCCUAGGAAGAAGAAAUUGUACAGAAGAGAAAGAAUAAUAACAAGUCAGCUAGACAGAAGAUAGGAGUCAUCAAACAUGUGUCUCAGUAGCCAGACCCAUCAACUGAACACAGGACCUUGGGUGAGUCCUUUCCCCUAUGUGCUGACCUCAGUCCUAAUGUAAAAAGGUACUCAAUAUAGAAACAAUGGUCAGAAGGAUG
rnacentral:lncRNA from 1 species